rnacentral:ribozyme from 1 species
UAUAUCCUGCAAAGACACCGGAGGAAGCACUAUAAUCCUAUAUAAAAUAAAUUUUAAAACUCCAUCACCAUCUGUACCUUGCCCCUCCCUUUUUUUCUUCAUUUUUUCUUUUUUUUUUGCUUUUUCAUACUACAUUU